CCCUGUAUUGAGCAGUGGGUAGUGCGCUCGGCUGUGGAGCCGGAGGUCGCUGGUUCGAUUCCCCCUACUAGUUA